GGUUGACCUCGGAUCAGGUAGGGAUACCCGCUGAACUUAAGCAUAUCAAUAAGCGGAGGAAAAGAAACAACAGGGAUUGCCCCAGUAACGGCGAGUGAAGCGGCAAGAGCUCAAAUUUGAAAGCUGGCUCCUUCGG
rnacentral:rRNA from 1 species